rnacentral:tRNA from 1 species
GCUUCCGUGGGUAAAUUGCUAUACACCUUAGAUUGAGGUUCCAAUCCGGAAACGAGUGCAAGUUCAAGUCUUGUCGAGAGCAC